CGUACCCCAAACCGACACAGGUGGUCAGGUAGAGAAUACCAAGGCGCUUGAGAGAACUCGGGUGAAGGAACUAGGCAAAAUGGUGCCGUAACUUCGGGAGAAGGCACGCUGAUAUGUAGGUGAAGUGAUUUACUCAUGGAGCUGAAAUCAGUCGAAGAUACCAGCUGGCUGCAACUGUUUAUUAAAAACACAGCACUGUGCAAACACGAAAGUGGACGUAUACGGUGUGACGCCUGCCCGGUGCCGGAAGGUUAAUUGAUG
rnacentral:rRNA from 1 species